rnacentral:rRNA from 1 species
CCCUUAGAUGUUCUGGGCCGCACGCGUGCUACACUGAUGCAUUCAACGAGUCUAAAACCUGGUCUGAUAGGGCUGGGUAAUCUUUUGAAAGUGCAUCGUGAUUGGGAUAGAUGAUUGCAAUUCUUCAUCUUCAACGAGGAAUGCCUAGUAAACGCAAGUCAUCAGCUUGCAUUGAUUACGUCCCUGCCCUUUGUACACGCCGCCCGUCGCUCCUACCGAUUGAAUGAUCCGAUGAAUACCAUGGAUUGAGAGUACGAAUAGGUUCGCUUAUUUCUGCUGCUCGAGAAGUGGAGUAAAUCUUAUCAUUUAGAGGAAGGAGAAGUCGUAACA